rnacentral:rRNA from 1 species
CCUACGGGUGGCAGCAGUGAGGAAUAUUGGUCAAUGGGCGCUAGCCUGAACCAGCCAAGUAGCGUGAAGGAUGACUGCCCUAUGGGUUGUAAACUUCUUUUAUAUGGGAGUAAAUUGCAGUAUGUAUACUGCUUUGCAUGUACCGUAUGAAUAAGGAUCGGCUAACUCCGUGCCAGCAGCCGCGGUAAUACGGAGGAUGCGAGCGUUAUCCGGAUUUAUUGGGUUUAAAGGGAGCGUAGGCGGGUGGUUAAGUCAGUGGUGAAAGUUUGGGGCUCAACCUGAGAAUUGCAGUUGAUACUGGCAGCCUAGAGUACAGUAGAGGUAGGCGGAAUGUGUGGUGUAGCGGUGAAAUGCUUAGAGAUCACGAAGAACUCCGAUUGCGAAGGCAGCUUGCUGGACUAUAACUGACGCUGAUGCUCGAAAGUGUGGGUAGCAAACAGGAUUAGAUACCCUUGUAGUC